rnacentral:tRNA from 1 species
GGAGGGUGUAGCUCAGUGGUAGAGUGUGUGCUUAGCAUGCACAAGGUUCUGGGUUCAGUCCCCAGCACCUCCA